rnacentral:rRNA from 1 species
AUACGGAGGGUCCAAGCGUUAUCCGGAAUCAUUGGGUUUAAAGGGUACGCAGGCGGCCUAAUAAGUCAGUGGUGAAAUCCCGUCGCUCAACGACGGAACUGCCAUUGAUACUGUUAGGCUUGAAUAUAGUUGGAGUGGGCGGAAUGUGUAGUGUAGCGGUGAAAUGCUUAGAUAUUACACAGAACACCGAUAGCGAAGGCAGCUCACUAAACUAUUAUUGACGCUCAUGUACGAAAGCGUGGGGAGCGAACAGGAUUAGAAACCCUAGUAGUCC